CAACUGGUGACCCAAUUGCCAAGACAACUGGACAGAUUUUAAGCAUAAGCAAGUCCCUGGGUGGUGAAGGUAGAGAUGUGCACCCUGAAAAGGUCAGACAGCUGCUGAAACCUCCGUGUGCUCCCAGUUCUGACAAAAAUGAGGUGGAGGCAAAGACAACUCCAGAGCCAGCCUGAGGAGUAGGAGAGGAGUGUGCCAGUCAAAAGAGAGCAGGAACAGCAGAGGAUGAAAAGUGAGGAACAGGCUGAGAUCUAAUCUGACCCAACUCAUUGAUUCCCUCCCUGACCUUGGGUAAGCCUUUUGACCUGCCUGGGCCUCAGUCAACUCAGCUGGAAAAUUGGGUAAAGAGCAGAGCCAGUUAGAA